rnacentral:misc_RNA from 1 species
CAGAGCGUGAAGCUAUGCAGAACUUCGUUCUGUGUAGUUGACCCUCCACCCGUGUCGAUUAUCUUAUGUUGCUUUGGCGGAUCGGGCUUGCCCGCGCCCACUUUGUGGGGGAUGUCCGCCAGGGAAGACCAAAACUCUUGUUAUCAGUGAUGUCUGAGGAUGAUAUAUAAUCAUGA